GACGGAGGGUGCGAGCGUUAUUCGGAAUUAUUGGGCGUAAAGGGCGCGUAGGCGGCCGGUCAAGUCAGAUGUGAAAGCCCGGGGCUUAACCUCGGAAGUGCAUUUGAAACUGGUCGGCUUGAGUUCGGGAGAGGAAAGCGGAAUUCCUGGUGUAGAGGUGAAAUUCGUAGAUAUCAGGAGGAACACCGGUGGCGAAGGCGGCUUUCUGGACCGAAACUGACGCUGAGGCGCGAAAGCGUGGGGAGCAAAC
rnacentral:rRNA from 1 species